rnacentral:rRNA from 1 species
UUAUUUGAUUUUCUUCGGAACUGAAGAUUUGGUGAUUGAGUGGCGGACGGGUGAGUAACGCGUGGGUAACCUACCCUGUACAGGGGGAUAACAGUCAGAAAUGACUGCUAAUACCGCAUAAGACCACAGCACCGCAUGGUGCAGGGGUAAAAACUCCGGUGGUACAGGAUGGACCCGCGUCUGAUUAGCUGGUUGGUGAGGUAACGGCUCACCAAGGCGACGAUCAGUAGCCGGCUUGAGAGAGUGAACGGCCACAUUGGGACUGAGACACGGCCCAAACUCCUACGGGAGGCAGCAGUGGGGAAUAUUGCACAAUGGGGGAAACCCUGAUGCAGCGACGCCGCGUGAGUGAAGAAGUAUCUCGGUAUGUAAAGCUCUAUCAGCAGGGAAGAAAAUGACGGUACCUGACUAAGAAGCCCCGGCUAACUACGUGCCAGCAGCCGCGGUACUACGUAGGGGGCAAGCGUUAUCCGGAAUUACUGGGUGUAAAGGGUGCGUAGGUGGUAUGGCAAGUCAGAAGUGAAAACCCAGGGCUUAACUCUGGGACUGCUUUUGAAACUGUCAGACUGGAGUGCAGGAGAGGUAAGCGGAAUUCCUAGUGUAGCGGUGAAAUGCGUAGAUAUUAGGAGGAACAUCAGUGGCGAAGGCGGCUUAUGGACUGAAACUGA